GAUGAACGCUAGCGGCAGGCUUAACACAUGCAAGUCGAGGGGCAGCAUGGGAUGUAGCAAUACAUUCCGAUGGCGACCGGCGGAAGGGUGCGUAACACGUGAGCGACAUGCCCGCAUCAGGGGGAUAACCGCUGGAAACGGCGACUAAUACCCCAUGGUCCUCGCAGGGGGCAUCCCCUGGGAGGUAAAGGAGAUAUCCGGAUGCGGAUUGGCUCGCGGCGCAUUAGCUAGUAGGCGGGGUAACGGCCCACCUAGGCUACGAUGCGUAGGGGCCCUGAGAGGGGGGUCCCCCACACUGGGACUGAGACACGGCCCAGACUCCUACGGGAGGCAGCAGUGAGGAAUAUUGGUCAAUGGGCGGAAGCCUGAACCAGCCAUGCCGCGUGAGGGUCAAGGCCCUACGGGUUAACAACCUCUUUGACACGGGAGCAAUAAGGUCCGCGAGCCGGACCGAUGAGAGUACCGUGAGAACAAGCGUCGGCUAACUCCGUGCCAGCAGCCGCGGUAAUACGGGGGACGCGAGCGUUAUCCGGAUUCAUUGGGUUUAAAGGGUGCGUAGGCUGCGCGGCAAGUCAGCGGUGAAACCCCCGUGCUCAACACGGGGCCUGCCGUUGAAACUGUCGUGCUGGAGUACGGUCGCCGCCGGAGGAAUGUGCGGUGUAGCGGUGAAAUGCAUAGAUAUCACGAAGAACUCCGAUUGCGAAGGCAGCAUGCCGCAGCACCACUGACGCUGAUGCUCGAAGGUGCGGGUAUCGAACAGGAUUAGAUACCCUGGUAGUCCGCACAGUAAACGAUGAAUGUUCGCUGUGAGUCAGUUGUGAUUUGCGGCCAAGCGAAAGCGUUAAGCAUCCCACCUGGGGAGUACGCCGGCAACGGUGAAACUCAAAGGAAUUGACGGGGGCCCGCACAAGCGGAGGAACAUGUGGUUUAAUUCGAUGAUACGCGAGGAACCUUACCCGGGCUUGAAUUGCAGGUGCAUGGACAAGAGAUUGUCCUUUCCUUCGGGACUCCUGUGAAGGUGCUGCAUGGUUGUCGUCAGCUCGUGCCGUGAGGUGUCGGCUUAAGUGCCAUAACGAGCGCAACCCCUCUCCGUAGUUGCCAUCGGUUCGGCCGGGCACUCUGCGGACACUGCCUCCGCAAGGAGUGAGGAAGGCGGGGACGACGUCAAAUCAGCACGGCCCUUACGUCCGGGGCUACACACGUGUUACAAUGGGGCAUACAGAGAGCAGGGUGUACGCAAGUGCAUUCAAAUCAAGAAAGUGCCUCUCAGUUCGGACUGGGGUCUGCAACCCGACCCCACGAAGCUGGAUUCGCUAGUAAUCGCGCAUCAGCCAUGGCGCGGUGAAUACGUUCCCGGGCCUUGUACACACCGCCCGUCAAGCCAUGAAAGCCGGGGGCGCCUGAAGUCCGUGACCGCGAGGGUCGGCCUAGGGUGAAACCGGUGAUUGGGGCUA
rnacentral:rRNA from 1 species